UACGUAGGGGGCAAGCGUUAUCCGGAUUUACUGGGUGUAAAGGGAGCGUAGACGGCUUUGCAAGCCAGAUGUGAAAGCCCGGGGCUCAACCCCGGGACUGCAUUUGGAACUGUGUGGCUAGAGUGUCGGAGAGGCAGGCGGAAUUCCUAGUGUAGCGGUGAAAUGCGUAGAUAUUAGGAGGAACACCAGUGGCGAAGGCGGCCUGCUGGACGAUGACUGACGUUGAGGCUCGAAAGCGUGUGGAGCAAACAGG
rnacentral:rRNA from 1 species